rfam:Gossypium hirsutum cultivar TM-1 chromosome 26, whole genome shotgun sequence
ACUAUUCCUUGGGAUUGGCUUUGAGCCUUUCUUGCUCAGCUUAGGUGGAAGGCGUAUAGGGCCUCCUUCCGGAGGGCCCGAGCCAUCAGUGAGAUACCACUUUGGAAGAGCUAGAGUUCUUACCUUGUGUCAGGACCUACGGGCCAAGGGACAAUCUCAGGUAGACAGUUUCUAUGAGGCGUAGGCCUCCCAAAAGGUAACGGAGGCUUGCAAAGGUUUCCUUGGGCCGGACGAGAUUGGCCAUCGAGUGCAAAGGCAGAAGGGAGCUUGGCUGAAUCCCGUGAAACCAUUUCAUAGAAGUUCAUUGAUAUAUUCUUUUUAUAAAGCAAA